AGAUCCAUCAUUCGUAGAAUGGCAUUUAAACACAAGUCUAUAUUUCUUUUUCAAUCUAUUCUUAUGCUACAUUUUCUUUUCUGCUUUGUACGUUGUUGGUAUUGUUAUUCAUUUAAUUCUUCACUACGAUUUGACUAGAUCUAAGUUUUUGAUGUAAUCAACAAUUUUUUCGAUAUAGUCGAGGUUGGAUGAAUCCUCAAAAUUAAUUCGGAGAAUUGAGAUGGCGAGAAUUAAAAGCAUUGUUGAUAUUACAAUUCAUUCAGUUUUUAGGUAUGAUUUAGUUGGAUCUAAGUUUUUGAUGAGGUCAAGAUAUUUUCAAUAUACUAAAGGUUGGACAAAAAUCAAAAUUAUUUCGGAUAAUUAAGUAGUCGAGAAAUUGGAGAUUCCACAUUUUGGAUCCAUUAUUUGGAGAGUGGAAUUUAAAAAUAUAGUUAUGCUUCUGAUACAAUCUAUUCUUAUGCAUACAUUUUCCUUUCUGGUUUUAUACAUUGCUGGUAUUGUUAUUCUUUCAAUUUUUAGCUACAAUUCAACCGGGUCUAUGAUUUUGAUAUACUCGAGAUUUUUUUUGAUAUACUUGACUGUUUUUUCGAUAUACUUGACAUUGGAAAAAAACUCUAAACUAAUUUGGAAAAUUGUGUAAUUGAGAACUCGUUACAAUUUUGAUAUUACUACUCAUUUUAGUUUUUAGGUAUGAUUCAACUGGAUUUAAGUUUUUGAUACACUCGAGAAUUGUUCAAUAUACUCAUAGUUGGAAGUCGAGAAUUUGGAGAUUACCCAUCUGUAAUCCAUUAUUCGCAGAGUGGCAUCUAAACACAAGUAUUCUUGAAACAAGUUUGAAGGCAGAGAAAGACACAACAAAUUCUCUUAGAAUUUGCUGAGAUUUCAAUUUCUAACGUAAUGAAUCAACAAUAGGAAUCUACAACGGAGUUAUUGUAGUUAGAGACGAGAGAAAGGAUUCUCCAUGAAGGCACGAGGGGAAUGGCAGAGCCAUCUUACUACGAGAUGAGAGAAGGAAAUUGGUGUUACCUGCACUGAGGAUUGAUAGAGUUCUUCUGUACGAGAUAACACCGAAGAUGCUGGAGAUCCCUUCUGGUGCAUUGGAAGGAUUAGUGCAGCUGAGAUAUGGUCGACAGGGAUGAAGUGGCCCAUCACUACCCAACACCACCCAUGCGGUGAUGUUUUAAUGUUUGCCUUUUUUCCUUUUUUGUUUGCUUAUCAAUAAAAUCUUCAAGGGAGAAAAAAUGUACCGUUAUGAUUUCUCUAACAUGGUUGUAGAUUCUGAAAUGGAGAGCCAUCGUGUUCUUGAAAUGACAAGAUGCAAUGACCAACCUGAAACAGGAGAUGAUCUUCCCACUACAAUUGGAUUUGACGAUAAGGUUAAUGAAGAGCUGCAAGCAGCUCAAAAUGAAGGAUGCACCGGCGAAAACCACGACCUGUCCUAUAUGGGUAGUCGAAGAUUGAUUUGAACGUCCUGCGCUCAUGUGGAGCUUGAUGCAUACCAGGUUUUGAGCUCGUGGGUGGACAAUGCUUGUUUCUAUAGCUUUGAAGAGGUAGAUGAUCAAGAAGAGAAAGUAACUGAAAAUGAGAGGAAAAUGUUGCAGAAGAAAAGCAGCAUGGCAAGAUGUAGUCUUCUGAAAAAGAAUUCACGAAAUUUAGAGUAUUUGAGGAAUCGAGCUCGUACUUAUGCUAUAAUUUUUUGUAAUAAGUGUGCACUGUCGGAACUAGACUGCCACUCCAACCAGGAUAAUUCUGACAGCCCCCUCCGAUACGGAGGCUCUCCUUGAAGAAUGCCAUGAAACUGACGAUUUGGAAGGAGAUUCGGGGGAUAGUGUCAGCAGCAGCAGUAGCACAGGACGAGGCCAAAACGAUUUGACAUCUCCAAGUUUCUAGAAGAAUCCAUUCUCGGACCACCAUCUGGGACAAUGCAUACCAGUGAAGCUGAAGACUACCCUGCACUUCCGAAGAAGUUCGGUUUUGAAGACAAUGUCGUGCCACUGACAGAAGAGGAGCAGAGAGAAGCUGAGUUGAUGAAGGAAAUGGUCGAUUUGAUUGAUGAGUUGAAUUUUAACCACGCUAUGGUAGAAAUGGGGACAAUUACCGGCCGUGAGGCUGUUCAAGUGAAUGAGUAGGAGGAGGAAGACACUCAGGAGCGCAGAUGUGCUCGAGCGCUGCAGAAGCACAGAACAGAUGCCUCGACUGCUUGCAUAUCAAUUCCAUCUGUGGGCACUUGCGACUUGCAUUUUUAGAUGAGGUAAGGAUGAAUAGACGCCAAAGAAAAUCCAUUUACAUUUUUGGACGAGGUAAGGAUGAACGGCAUCGCGGAGAAAAGUGCGUGAUAUUGUCCGGGACGUUGUUCCAAAACAACUUCAAAGAGCUGUUCAACACCCUGAAGAUCGUACGCCCAUAGAUCUGGGCCUGCUUUACUUCCCGGAGCAAUCAAUCAUGUAGUGGAGAGGCUUAAAGUCUCCAUCGCACCGUUUGGGAAAUGUCCUACAAAAGAGACUGUGUCAUGCUCCUGAAACCAACUGGAUUGCAAAAGAAACUGAUCGACAGGUUGGAAGGGGUACUGUUAUGUUAAGGAAACAAUUUAAGAGUGAACUUGGAUUCUCUUUUGUAUCUGUUAAUCCUUACCCGGUUUUCAAGACCGGGGCUAUCAACCACUCAGCCAUCUCUCCGAAAGACAUCACCCAAAAAUGCAAGUCGCAAGUGCCAACCAAUCGAAUUGAUAUUCGAGCAGUCGAGGCGUCAAAGCUCAUUCCUGGCGAAGCGUCAAAAUAAAAUUCAUCCUCGAGUUUGUCCACCUCAUACUAGUAUGAUGCUGAAUGAAAAAGUGCUCAUCUUCAGCUAUUACAUGUGGAAUCCACACCCCACCCCACCCCACCCGCACUCUCCUUCUUUAUUCCCCAACCGAUUCUCAUUCUCUUUAGAAUGCAUUUCAUUUCAUUAUUAGUACUCCCUUACACAACCCAAAUCCAAUAAAUUAAUUCAUUUCCCCUACACGUUUUCCAUUCUCCUUUCUUCUUUAUGUGAAGAAUCUCAACUUGCUCGUUUCUGCACUCCUUUUCUCCAAUUUCUCCUCAAUUCAGGAAGAGAGAGAGAGAAAGAGGAGCUUCCGAGGUGAAGAGAUAUGGCGGCGGAAAAGGAGACGGCCGCGAAGCUGGAGAAGAGCUACUACGAUGUGGUCGGACUUUGCUGCUCGUCGGAGAUUCCGGUGAUCGAGAAAAUUUUUGACCAGUCUUUAUUAUAUUCCGCCCUUGGAUAGGAUGAAAGAGGGUCUGAACGCCAACUAUCAGAAUUUGUCUUCUGCUUUUCUUCGAACGAGAAGGAUUAUAUCAAAGCAGCAGAUGCCGGAGAUUGAGGACAGGAUUCUCGAAGAUAUGAUCCAGCACACCAAGACAAAGAUAUAAUUUAAAAGGUCAUCCACCAGCCGAAGAACCCUGACUUGAUCCAGUCCUUGGGCAUGAGAGGUUGAGAAUAUUCCCGGGACUGGGAGUACGUAUAUAUAAAGUUAUGUGUUGAGUUAAAGUUUCUUCGAGGAAGCAAAUUGAUGAGUUGAUUGAUCAUUUUUGUUUCGGAAUUGCUUGGUUGAUUUGUUGCAAGAAACAAAAUGCGAUUGAUUGUGCAGUUUUUAAAGAAGUUGGGAAUUAUAUUUUCUCUCUUAUCAUUCCGUAAUUUUAACUUGUUUUAUGGCAUAAACAAACACUACAAAAAAAAUAUCAAUUUUGUAACGAGAUUUUUUUGUUCUUAAAUCCACUUUUUCCGUUACUAAUGAUAACUUUAGUAAUGGA